rnacentral:misc_RNA from 1 species
UAUCCUCUCCACUAAUCCCACACACCUGAUCUGCCAAAAGCCCUAAAUUCUCCAGUGUCCCGUCCAGCCCAUCCACCAGCGGCAGAUCGUUUGCCUGAGAACUCGAGGAGACCUACCGUUUGCCCUGAUAGGACGGAGUUUCUGCGGCGGCAAGUUUUGACCGUCGAUAUCUGAAGAGUGAAUCACGGCCAUUGGAUUGGAGAUGAGAAAGU